rnacentral:rRNA from 1 species
UCCGUAAACCCCUGUCAUUUGCGAACAAACCUUAGUUGUUAACAGCGACUCAAGCUGAUUGUAGCGAAAGAGGAAGGGACGGCUAACUCUGUGC